rnacentral:rRNA from 1 species
GACGAACGCUGGCGGCGUGCUUAACACAUGCAAGUCGAGCGGAAAGGCCCUUUCGGGGGUACUCGAGCGGCGAACGGGUGAGUAACACGUGAGUAAUCUGCCCCUGGCUUUGGGAUAGCCACCGGAAACGGUGAUUAAUACCGGAUACGACCACUUCUCGCAUGGGAUGGUGGUGGAAAGUUUUUCGGCCAGGGAUGUGCUCGCGGCCUAUCAGCUUGAUGGUGAGGUAAUGGCUCACCAUGGCUUCGACGGGUAGCCGGCCUGAGAGGGUGGCCGGUCACACUGGGACUGAGACACGGCCCAGACUCCUACGGGAGGCAGCAGUGGGGAAUAUUGGACAAUGGGCGGAAGCCUGAGCCAGCAACGCCGCGUGAGGGAUGACGGCCUUCGGGUUGUAAACCUCUUUCAGCAGGGACGAAGCGCAAGUGACGGUACCCGCAGAAGAAGCACCGGCCAACUACGUGCCAGCAGCCGCCGCCG